GCGCUUUUGAUUGGGGAUUUACAUCGCUUGUCGUGUUUACAUUUCUGGAGUUCGAAAUCAUCUGGUGUUAGGUGUUUUUAUAUGUGUGUGACAGCUUCUGCGUUCGACGUAUCCUGUUGGAGUUUAUGUUCCGUGCACAACCGAGAAACGCGAACGAGUGUGAAAGGAGUUGAAACAGCUGAAGGCUAAUACAUGUUCCAUGUUUCAACAAUUCCCGAAGGCGGUAUCAGACGCGCGCCAGAAACUUGUAAAACAGAUGAAGGACGCUAGAGGCAUGGGUUAAACGUGCUUGGCUGGUAGAUGAUACCCUUGACCUGAACUUUCAACCGGACAUUAAUUAGAGGGACGCUGAGGUUCAGCUUUUGAUUCUCUAAUAGCAGAAGAAAUAAAAGAUAAUGUAAAUAUGACAAACCUUAAAUUCAUGUAAGCAUGCGUGGCAUUCUUACCAGUUUCAGAUUAGUAGCAAGUUUCAGGUAAGUAAAUUGCAAAUUGUUAUUGCAUCGCUGUUUACUUUGCUUGUUUACUUUAUCUCUUAAGUUGCAUAUUCAUUAAACGUAAACUUUCUUUAAACAUUACAUUACAUUUAUUGAAGCUGAUGGUCCAAUGUAAGAAACUGUGCAACGACUGUAUCUAUGGAUAUUUAAAGAAACCGAGAAAUUAACAGCACAAUGUAGGUUAAUACAAUGACACAAGCACAUUCUAAAUUGAAUCGGUGCAUACAUUGUAAUUUAUAAAAGAUCUCACAUAAGUUAAAAUGUUAUACUUUAAUCACGUACUCGAACUGUGUAACAUAUCAUGCACACACUUUUCAUAAACGCGAAUGAUUUAGAAUACUACUGUGCUCUCAAUACUAUUGAUUUUACAAUUAAGAUUGUGGUUUUGAGGAAGAGUAUAUACAUUGAAGUUUAAUUUAGCUUAAACAAUCCAUUUAUGAACUAUUUCAUAAAAAUGCAUACAGCUGUAUACGGUAUAUAUUAUUAGCUUUUUUAUUAGAUUGUAAGGCUCAACGGGAUACACAUACAACUCGGAUGGCAUUAAUGAGAAGAAUUCGCCGUCUGUUUACGUCUGCAAAAGGAAAAAAGGCCACUAUGGCACAUCGCAGGAGGAAUAACGACCUCAUCCCGAUUCAUAGAUUACAACGUUUUUUCGCCGAAGCAAAUCAAAUUGCAGAAAUUGACCGUGAUAUAAUCACACUGGGUCACCGCGACAUGAUCACAUUUGAAUGCAGGAUCGACAUAUUUGGUUCCAUGUCGGAAAUCUGUACAACGAUUAGAGAGAUACUGACAAUUUGCGAGCGGGAUUUUCCUAAUAUUCCUGGUCUAGGUCAAGAAUUGAAAGACCUCGUUUUCGCGAAGUCUGUUUAGGUCUACACAACAAAGACGUUUCGCCAUCACUUUGCUCCUGGCUCAAAUGAAAGUACUCGGAACAUAAUGCUCCAAGAUAUUAAACAUUAUAUCAAGCAUUUUAAUAAAUUUGCAUUGGUUGUUGUUGAUAAUUUUUUGCAAGCAGCCGUUAUCAAGUUUCUUAACAAUUCAGACAUCUGUGUGACUGGACUUUUACUGUUUGGCGAAAUUCGAAGCGUUCCAGAUCAUCCAAAAAUACUUUUUAUCCAAACUCACCCGAAUGAUGAGGUCAUGAAAAACGCUGCACGUUUAUUGGAAAUGUGUGCAUUUUCUUUAUUGAAAUCGAUACAGAGUACUGUGCAACAAUAUGAAGGACACAGUUAUGGUGCGGGAAGAAAAACGGCCGAAUUACUGGAUCUGAUUGACCUCAUUGUGUCAACAUACGAAAGAAGUUUCAACUUCUCAUCAUCAAACAAUGACUGAAUUUACUAAUUGACAAUAAAACAUUAAAAGCAAUUUUUUCACAGGUUUUUGGUUAGUUUGAUGUAUGGUGAAUUGAAUUCACGGAUGUACUGGAACUAAAAGAUUCAACUAUAUUAACCUGAAAAUAGAAUCGGGUAAUCUACAUAAAAAGAAUUAAAUUUAAUACCCGAAGUAAAAUAAAUACUGAAAAACAAUCGUUUUUGAUCUGUAAUUAUUCAAUAAUAUCCUUAUCUAGUCCAAUUCUAAUUUAUUAAAUAAUCGAAUCAAUUCUUCUAAACCGUUUCAUCAGUGGCUGACAAAACAUGAUUAAUUCUUAAAUAAAAUACGUGAGGCAUCAAGAAGAUGAACUAUAACAUGUUAAUUACUCCACUGAAACUUUUUUAACAUUUUGCGUGAUGAAAAAUAAAUAUAAAUACAUGUAGCUAGACUUACUAACUAAACAUGCGUUUGAUAGUCGAAAUAUGAACAUUCACCUCAGUUGCAUUAAGUCAUAUAUACUUUUCAUAACUUGUAUAGUUAAGUUUUGCUGACAUAUGCUUAUAUUUGUAUAUUUUAUUUUUCUAUAUGCCUGUUUAUACUGUUUGUUUAUUUAAAUUCGACUAUCGUUCGAAUUUCUAAUUCGUAAAUAAAUCAGCGUAUGAUAUGGUAACUUUGUAUCAAACAUAUAUUUUUUCUAGAUUUGCUAAUGUUUACAUGGGUAAAAAUAUAAACAUUUUUUCAUUCGGCAUUGAACAAAAAGUUCAUCUAACGUUCAAUUAUCAACAUGAUCAACAUGAUAAUACAUCAAAUAUAUAUUUAGUGAGUGAUGAAGUAUUUCUCAGUUGAUUUAAGAGUGCAUGGGACCAUAUUAUCUCGAUACUUUUUUGCAUUGGGAUAUGUAUAUGUGUUUAAUGUAUGCUGUAUUUUUUAUAGUAGAUGAUUCUGAAAAGCGGGAAGUAUAAAUUCAAUAUGGUAUUAACGAAUUGAUUGUUGAACCUUACAAUCAUACCACAUGCGGUUUAAUCAAAAUUAAUUCUCUUUGUUGCACUGCUUCAAUAAAAUGUCAAUAUAAUCGUGUAUGUAUCGUGUCCAUGAUACAUGCUUAAGUUCUUUUGAUGUAUGUUUGAUAGUUUAUUUUCAACAAUAUUUAUUUACACCGCCAUAAUUAUUGAAAAGAUGCAUGUAGUUGUGUGUCUUCGUAUCCAUUUUCUUUUUUCUAUAUCAUUCACUUAAUAGCAACAUAAUAUAUUUAUUAAAUUAUGUUGUUUUUAUCUAAAGGAACAUCUGAUCUUUUUAUCUUCUUUUGCACUCAGUAUUCAUCGAGUCGAGUAGACAAAAUCUUACCAUGAGCUCAGUAUUAAACACCAUUCAAAAACGCCAUCCAAUACAGUAGUUGUUUUGAAAUUAUCUCUUAUAUAUUGUUUUGCCAAUUGUAUACCUGACUCAAGACAGAAUCAAUAUUUAGUCUGGUUUGAUUUUGAUUCUUUAUUUAUACCGAAAUUAGUAUACAUAUUAUUUAAGUGUGCUGUUCGCAAGUAUCGUUAUUUUUUGUUAAACUAUGUAUUAUCAAAUUCGUAUGCCUUUAAUAUUAUGUGUAUAAUGUGUAUUUUAGUUUGUUGUAUGUUCAUAAUUCUACUACGCAGAAAUUCAUUUGAUGUUAUGACUAGGAUAAAAAUACAUAAAACGAGUUCUGAACACUUAACUAUAGAAUUUGCAAACAUACCUGUAAGAAAUUUAAAGUAAAUUAAUGUUCAUGAAUUCAUGUGAAAUAAACAUUUAAACAUAAAAUUAUUCAACGUAUAUAAAAAGCAAUUUCUGUAUUUAAACAACAUUUUUAUAACUCGCUAGUACAAAAAAAGGAAUUGUUUUUGUUAACAAUUGGCUUAGAAUAAGGGCCUAUUAUCACGAACAUACUCAGUCAAUAUGCUGACACAAAUUUAGUUUCUUUUCUUAAUAUUUUCUAUGUGUUUGGCCAUCAUGCUUAAUUUGGUUUUCAAAGAAGUGUUCAUAAGUUUUGAGUCUGACUCUACCAUAAGAUUCAUGACGAAUAUGUGCAUAUUCCUAUAGCUGAGAUUCCAAAUUGUUUGUGAACGGACCGAAAUUUUAAAUACUCAGCUUAGUUUUACUGUUUUUGAAUCUUUUAUUUUAAUAAAUUUUAAUAAACAUUUCAGACUUAGAUAUAACAUUGUCUUCGAUGAUGUUUAACAUUAAAAUAAAAUCACUCUUUACAAAUAUUAGUGAUGUCAAUUGUUUCUUUGUCAUUUGUUUUGUAAACAUUCGUUUCAAAUUAAG